UAGGGAAUCUUCCGCAAUGGACGCAAGUCUGACGGAGCAACGCCGCGUGAGUGAAGAAGGAUUUCGGUUCGUAAAACUCUGUUGUUAGAGAAGAACAGCGCAUAGAGUAACUGUUAUGCGUGUGACGGUAUCUAACCAGAAAGCCACGGCUAACUACAUGCCAGCAGCCGCGGUAAUACGUAGGUGGCAAGCGUUGUCCGGAUUUAUUGGGCGUAAAGCGAGCGCAGGCGGUCAAUUAAGUCUGAUGUGAAAGCCCCCGGCUCAACCGGGGAGGGUCAUUGGAAACUGGUUGACUUGAGUGCAGAAGAGGAGAGUGGAAUUCCAUGUGUAACGGUGAAAUGCGUAGAUAUAUGGAGGAACACCAGUGGCGAAGGCGACUCUCUGGUCUGUAACUGACGCUGAGGUUCGAAAGCGUGGGUAGCAAACAGG
rnacentral:rRNA from 1 species